UCCGGAGGAGGCAAGCGUUAUCCGGAAUUAUUGGGCGUAAAGCGUCCGUAGGUGGUUGGCCAAGUCUGCUGUCAAAGGGUGGGGCUUAAGCUCAUAAAGGCAGUGGAAACUGGUGAGCUAGAGGGCGGUAGGGGUAGGGGGAAUUCCCAGUGUAGCGGUGAAAUGCGUAGAGAUUGGGAAGAACAUCGGUGGCGAAAGCGCCCUGCUGGGCCUGCACUGACACUGAGGGACGAAAGCUAGGGGAGCGAAAGGG
rnacentral:rRNA from 1 species